rnacentral:rRNA from 1 species
UACGUAGGGCGCAAGCGUUGUCCGGAAUUAUUGGGCGUAAAGAGCUCGUAGGCGGUCUGUUACGUCCGCUGUGAAAACCCAGGGCUUAACCCUGGGCUUGCAGUGGAUACGGGUAGACUAGAGGCAGGUAGGGGAGAAUGGAAUUCCCGGUGUAGCGGUGAAAUGCGUAGAGAUCUGGAAGAACACCAAAGGCGAAGGCAGCAUCCUGGGAAGUUCCUGACGCUCGGGUGCGAAAGCCAGGGGAGCGAACGGG